GGGAAGGUGGCUCAGUGGUAGAGCACUUGCCUUAUAUGCCUGAGGCCCUGGGUUCGAUUCCUCAGCACCCCA
rfam:Dipodomys ordii contig_30219, whole genome shotgun sequence.